UCCCUUCUCACACGCUAGCAUCACCUUCCCCUAAACCUAAAACUCACCCUUUCCUUCCCCAAAAAUCAAAACCCAAAACUCAGAUUCUCCCACAGCCGCCGCUGCCACCACGGAUUGCCACCACCACGAGUCACCGCCACUGCAUCUUUUGGUUUUCCUCUCCCUAUUAUGCAACUCAUUCUCUACAUUGAAAAUCAAAAUCCAUACCCAAUGCCUAGAGACUAGCUUUGGAACUGAUAAACCUUCUAUUGGAAUUUCAAAAAGUGGAGGGAAUUAAUAAAUCUCAUAAUGAGUAUUGGGCGAUCACAAUCUAACCUUCUAUUGGAAUUUCAUAAAGUGGAGGGAAUUAAUAAAUCUCAUAAUGAGUAUUGGGCGAUCUCAAUCUCAUGAUUUAAGUAUAGGUAAGAUCUUCAUUUCCUUGAUUAACAUUUACUUCUCACACAAGUCCAAAGUAUACCAAUUGUCAAGGAUAAACUUUCUAAGUGCUUUCCAUCCAUCAUGGGUCAAUCUAACUUCAGUAAAGAUUAUCAUAAUAAUGUUAUGGUGAGACUAUCUGGGAAGGGUUGAGUUGAGAUAUUAAUUUGUAAUAUAAUGUUGUAGCACUAUUGCAAGAUGGAUUGGGUCACAUCACAAAUGGUUUCAAAAAUUUAUCCAAAAAAUUGAAUGAUGUUGUCCAAUGGUGUGCACAAUGCUAUACAAUAUAUACAAUGUAGCAGCAGAUAAAGUUGAUUGUGAUAGUACAAGGCCACAAGCUGAAGAUGUCUACUUGGCGAAGAAUAAAAGGUUGAAGGAAAGGGACACAGGGGGCACAGCUCUCCAUGGCCUGAGCUCUAAGAGAAAGCAGAUGUUGGAAGAUGUAAGCCUACUCAAGAAUUUAAAGAUAAAUGAAAUUGAGUCAGGUACAUUGACUUGACAUGUGACUUAAAAUUCAUCUGUAUAUAUUAGCUUUAUACCGUUUGAUACUCUUGCUUGAAGUCAUCAACUAUAUGUAAUAUUUCUCCUUUCCUCCAAAGACAUGGAAACCAGGUGGUCCCUAUUGGAUUUGGGUUGGAUAUUUCUGCUUAGAUGAAAGCAUUAUCUCUCCCUUGAAUCUCAAUGGCUACCCGCAUGAUGUCACCUUUGCUUAAUUUGUCUCAUGUUGGAAUUUCUUUCUA